GUAAACUAGAACCUAAUUGUCAAUUCAAUCAAUUAGAAUUGGAUUUUACAGUAAAAUGCAUAUUCCACCAAUUACUGUUAUAAUGCUAUUAUAGAUACAUAUUUAUACAUAUUAUCUAGUAGAGUCUCACAGUUACUACUUUAAGCAGCAGAUGAAAGCAUACAAAAGCCUUCAGGCACAUAAAAGCCUUCACAACUGGAUUUGUUUUGAAAGGAGUAAAAAUUGUUAAUGAUCUCUAUAUUAUUGUUGGAAAGGUGAAGCAUUCCCAAAAAGCUAAUGCUAAACCACUAGGUGCUUGGGUGAUAGCCAGUUCCAAUGGCAUAGCAAAUGCACAUUGCAUGUGUCUGGCCGGUAAUAGUGAAGUUUGAAGCCAUAUUGCAGCAAUCUUAUUUGCAGCUGAGUAUGCCACAGCAAGACAGAAGAAAAAGAACCCAAUGCAUGUACAGAUGUUACAGCUAUGUACAUUCUCUGAUGAAAAACUAAUGAGUUUUGAAAUUGUUCGGUCAGAGUGCUUGUUGCGCUCUCUAAACGAACUGAAAUAUAAGACGGCUUUGGCGUCAUGUUGCAGUGAUAUGAAAAUGGUUAGUCAUUUUUAAUUAUAAUGUACUUCUUCAUCAUGAGUAUUUAUGUAGAGGGCUUUUCAUUCACAGUAAUUUGUUUCGAACUUCUGUCAUGUGUCACAUAUUAAUAUAUCUACGUCAUACGUUAUUGGUAUAUACCAAUGAUACAAACCAAACAUGUAUGGCGUAGAUAUUUUAAUAUUAUGUGACACAUGACAGAAGUUCGAAACAAAUGACAGUCGAUGAAAAGCCCUAUUAGUCUUUUAAGUGUGUAUUAUCAGAUAUCACGUGUAAAUUGUUUUUAUCAUUUUAAUUUGGUCAUUACAGUCCCUUAAUCAAAAAAUAUAUUUUUCAGGUGUCUGUAGAUCUUUUUGUAUGCAAAAAUUUGUAAUAAUUAUUUGAAAUCAAUUUGAGGAUUAUGAGAAUAUGGAAAUAUAUGUGAGAACACAGACUAUUAUAGUUUUGUCCUAUUUUUUAUCAUUCAAUCGUCUUCCUUAAAAUUUAUAAAUAUAAAGCAGAUAGUUUUCAUUGAAAUUCAAUAUAUUGGGUCUUAUUUGUAUGUAUUCAAUUCUGACUAAAGGUACGAUUCUGACAACGACUGCAGACGGCAACUGCAAACAUCAAUUGCAGUUCUCGGCGUUAUGGACGUUACUACUUUGCACUAUGAGACUGAUUCCGACAUCUGACUGCAACUGCUGUCCGGCAGAACGUCAGUUGCUAAUAAUUAUGCAAAUGACGUCUGUCAUGGUAACAACUGUAACUGCCGUCUGCAGUCGUUGUUGGAAUCGUACCUUUAAAGUGUGUGGUAUAAUUAUAAUAAUUAUAUAUAUUAUAUAACUUAAUUGGUUUAAACUUAAGUUUGUUAUUAAAUUGUGACUUAAGUGUUUAAUUUGUUAAUAAAUGAUUUAUUAGUU